rnacentral:lncRNA from 1 species
GAGUGGAAGAUAGCAAAGACACGGUCACCCUCUUUGGAUUUGGAUCAGAAUAGCAAGGAAAGUGUUUCUAUCACUGGAAGGAGGAUAAUCAGACCAAGGGCUCCAAGGAAAUACUGCCCACGUCUAGUGCAGGAGCAGAAAUCGAAGUCAUCCAUCAGCUAGCGUGUGGACAAGCUCACUAUUCACACAAGCUCAGCCUAGCUGAGUCCAUACAAAUCCUAUUUCUGGCACUCCAGCCAGAAGGACCUCCGUAAUAUGGCCAAGAUACACCCAGGAAUCUGCCACCAUCCCAGCAACUUUUCCAGAAAAUGCAACUGCUCAUCUGAGGUCCACACAUGCUCUGCCUGCCUCCACGUGCCUGGCGAGUCUGACUGGUUUGACAGACGCUUCGACAGUACCGUUGAACCCCUACAGAGGCCACAAGAUCCCACGUCCAAUGAUGCUCUGAUAUUGUGGCUGGGACUCGAGAGGGUCAAGUCAGAGAAGGAGGUUGAGAAUAAGCAGCAGCAGCUGAUUAAAGCACCUCCCCUGUGCCCACUGGGCCAUGUGGUGUCCAACUGCCGGGUCUGUGCAGUGGUGGGAAACUCAAGGUCUCUAUGGAGCUCUGGCCUUGGCUUCAGGAUUAAUCAACAUGAAGUGGUCCUCAGGAUGAACCAGGCCCCUGUCUGAGGCUUUGAGGCAGAUGUGGGGAACAGGACCACCAUGCGCGUUAUGUACCCUGGGAUUGCCAGCCCUCAGGACCCCGGUACCCAACUGCUGCUGCUUCCGUUGAAUUCAUCUGGUCUGGAGUGGUUCAUAAGUGUACUGCAUAAACAGACAAGCAUGUGGAAGCAAAAAAAACCCUGGAUUUCAGACGGUUCAGGUUCCUGGUGGAACCGAAGACAGCAAAGAUAAGGUGCUGGUGAUCAGCCUCUACUUCCUCAGGUAUAUCCAGGAAAGUUGGCUGGAGAACCAUGGUCAGUAUCCGUCCUUGGAGUUUGUGGCUCUGUUGUAUGCCUUGCAUACCUGUGACCAGGUAUCCUUGUUUGGUUUUGGGGAAGACAAUUGCAAAAGGUGGUCCCAUUACUGGGAUGACAAAUAUUGGUUUGAGAACACCAUGCAAAAUUUCCCAGCAGAAUACCAGAUCAUCUUGAAACUGCAGUGUGAGAGGAAGAUUGCUGUCUACGGCUGAGAUGUUUCCAGUGGAGUCCCCAGGAGGCUUGACAGGUAGCCAAGGGGACCUUGUGGUGUCAGAGAGGGACUAGGGCUUCAAGCAGACCCUGGAUGGAGAUUACUCUGCUACUGAAUAAAACCCUAGCUUAUUUCUC